AUUUAGAACAAUGACUUGUAAACCCACCAUAAAUUUAGUUGGUUUUCAACUGGAAUUUCUAUUUGGGCCCUCCCCCCUGGAAUUUUAAGGAUCUCUAGAACUUCGGACUAAGGGAAAUGCCUAAAAUGUCCUAAUCUGACUAAUUAGUUUAACUCUUUGGGGCUUGUUAAACCUUUUAAAAGUAUUAAGAGUAACAGAUUCCUGUGAAACUCUGUGCAUUCCAGCUAGUAUCUAUCAAAGUCUAGAAACAGAUGUUUUCAGCGCUGCUUAGAGAAACAAAAAAUUUUUUCCUAAUGUGUCUGAGAGAUAAGCCUCUGCAGUAUCACAAGAAGAUUAAAGUGGCAGACACUCCUUCCAGCGGAAGUUACUAAUUCGGACCCGGCUGAUGCAGUUCCCAUAGCAACCCUUGUUUCCCGGGAAACCCGAAAAAGGUCGUCAUGGCAUCUCUUGCUCUCUAGCCCCACCCCCUAGCCCCAGCCGUUUCCACAGUAACCUUUCCAGAUGGUUCCUCCUUACAUGAUUUCACAAGGAAAACCACUGUUUGAAUAAACCGCACAAAUAAAGUUAAGUCUGAGGAUUCGAGGCGGUGAAAUGAAUCACAAAAUACUUUUUUAUACAAAAAUAUUUUAAAAAUCACUGACGUCAUCCCAUACUGACUGAAUCGAAAAGGAAAAUGUCGUCAUUGGAAUGUUACACAUACACCACAAUAGGCCGUGAUUUGAAUGAAAUGCCAGUAAUUGGGCAAUCAUUUUGAAAGAUGCUUCUCUACUGUUUUCUUUCCCCAAGAAGUUUCAAGCCAACAAAUGAAAUUAAAAAGCAAAUGUAAAAGCAUUCUGCACAUAAGCAAAUGAAAUGUUCAAUCAGUAUACCUGAAACUUUACUACAAGGAAACUUCAGACUUCCUCUUUUUAAAAAAAGUAUCCAGAUCCCACAACACUCACCAUCACAGCCCUUGAAAAACUAAAUAUAUUUGAAAAGUAUAAAGGAUGCAUGCUUUUAACUGAGGGAAUUGCAGAUAAUCAAUGAAAAGGAGUCACAGGAAGUAACCAGACCUUGGGAAAUACCUGCAAGUUUCAGCCAUGUGCCAGGGGUGGCCAGAAGACAGACAGCAUCAGAUACCAGAAGAGCCCCACAUAAAGAACUGUAGAGCUGCACUGACCAGUAGAAUGCUCUUUUUAAACUGCCUAGAACAAUGAAUACAGUGUUGAUUAUAUUGCUGAUGAGCAGUGAUAUGUCUGCCAACACAUAGUUUCAGUUGACAUUAAAUAACAUGUCUCUAAGAAAUGCUUCAUAUAAAAGAAACAGCUCUGAAGCUGAAGGAUUCUCUUCAAAUUGUGUGCAGUUGAAAAGGUAUUGACCAAGAGAUAAAGAAGAACAUUAAAAAUAUUAAAGUAUCAUUUGACAUUUUGAUGAUAUUUAAUCAUCCAAAAACUAAUCAGUACCGCUGAUAAAGAAAGCCUAAAUGCUUGUUUCCAAUAAGCCAACUUAUUAUACUGUUCUCUUCUUUCAGUUAAUUACUGGACUGUGUUUAAUCAUGAUAUGUAUUAAUGUUAUCUUCUAUGUACAACUUUAUUUGUGAAAGUAUGUUUUGUACCAAAGGCUUUCAUAGAAAUUAGUCCAUUAUGUGUAAAUAAGUGAAGUCUACACUGUGCCCAGAUGAAUGGUAUUAAAGACAGACUUGCCUAAAAG
rnacentral:lncRNA from 1 species